AUUGAACGCUGGCGGCAGGCCUAACACAUGCAAGUCGAAUGGUAACAGGAAACAGCUUGCUGUUUCGCUGACGAGUGGCGGACGGGUGAGUAAUGUCUGGGAAACUGCCUGAUGGAGGGGGAUAACUACUGGAAACGGUAGCUAAUACCGCAUAACGUCGCAAGACCAAAGAGGGGGACCUUCGGGCCUCUUGCCAUCAGAUGUGCCCAGAUGGGAUUAGCUAGUAGGUGGGGUAACGGCUCACCUAGGCGACGAUCCCUAGCUGGUCUGAGAGGAUGACCAGCCACACUGGAACUGAGACACGGUCCAGACUCCUACGGGAGGCAGCAGUGGGGAAUAUUGCACAAUGGGCGCAAGCCUGAUGCAGCCAUGCCGCGUGUAUGAAGAAGGCCUUCGGGUUGUAAAGUACUUUCAGCGGGAAGGAAGGGAGUAAAGUUAAUACCUGUGCUCAUUGACGUUACCCGCAGAAGAAGCACCGGCUAACUCCGU
rnacentral:rRNA from 1 species